AUUUAAAUAGUUUAAAAAAAAUAUUGAUUUGUGGAAUCAAGGAUAUGGGUAUCCCAUUUUAAGUA
rnacentral:tRNA from 1 species